CAGAGUAAACACAGACUCUGACAUUACACUAACUGGACAAGAACAUCUGCUCAAGUUUUUGAUUUGCAGGAUGAAGACCUUACAUGCAAUGCUACUGAUGAUGUUUAUUGCAUCAGUCUUUUCAAAACCAUCUCGUCUGCACAGAAGAUCUGAAUCAUCAAACUCAGAGAGUUCAGAGGAAAAUGCUUCACGCGGAGGAAACAGGCUGGAUUCUCAGUCGGUCGAGAAUUCUGACGAGUCUAAUGCAUCUUCUGAGGAAGUUGUGCCAAGAACAAUCCCUCCAACUCGCACACCAUGAAUCAUCACGACACAAGACAUCACGCACCAUGUUACUGUGGAGCUGACAACUGAAAUAAUGGGCAAUCGUUAUAAUACCAAUAUAAUAUCUUGCAACACUACUGCUUAAUCAUCUUUUCAUGCAAAAAAAGAAAAAAAAAAGAAAAAAAAAAGAUUGUUUAGUGGUGUAAGAUUGAUUAUGGUUUCCACUAAUGAUUCUGAUUGAUGUAACUUUAAAAAAAUUAAUUACUUUUAAAUUCAGAAUAAAAAAUCUUUCA